ACUUGGCACCCCUUACGCCUUACGGUGGCCGCUGCGCCCAGUCACAUCUAUUGCAUUUCUCUGGAAUGACCACAGCAAUAUUUCCAGCCCUUGAUGAUCUUCUAGAACUUUGCCACUUCCCUGCAUCAAGAGGGUUUGUCUUGGUCCAUUUUAUGCUGCUAUAACAGAACACCACAGACUGAGAAAUUUAUAAGGAAUAGAAGUUUAUUUGCCUCAUGUUUCUGGAGGCUGGGAAUUCCAAGAUCAAGGGGCUGCAUAGAUUGAGGUCCUUUUUGCUGACUCAUAACGUGGAAAGAGAGUGCACUGCAUAGAAGAAAGGAGGCCAAACUCAUUCUUUUAUCAUGAGCCUACUCCUGAAAUAACUCACUCUCAAGAUAAUGGCAUUAAUCCAUUCAUGAAGGCAGAAUACUCAUGAUGUAAUCACCUCUUAAAAGGUCCUAUUUCCUAACACUGUUGCAUUAGGGAUUAAGCUGUCAACACAUGAAUAUUGGGGGACACAUUCAAACCAUAGCAAGAGUUCUUUGUCUUUGUGACUCGGUGUGGUUCAGCAAAUUGCGAUUGGUCUGCUAUAGCGGACUUUCCCCUCACCUCCCAAAUGUUUAUUAUGAAAAAUUUCAUUUUAAAGAAAGGUGGAAGGAAUUGUUGAAAGAAUAUGUCAUCUAGUUUCUACUGUUGUUAACAUUGUGUCAUAUUUGCCUUUUCAUCCAUCCAACCACCCAUCCAUCUAGCUACCUUAUAAUUACUAUUAUUACUUAUUAUUACUAUUAUUUUUAAAGACACCUCUAUUAAAGCAACCAUCUUAUUUUUUGAUUUUAUUUAUUUUCAAAGUUAGUUGCAGACAUUAGUAUACUUUACUCCUAGACAUUUUAGCGUGAACAUAAUUAACUGGAGUAUAAUACUUGUUUUCAAUUUCUUUUUAUUUUUGAGGUAAAAUUUACAUACAGUGAAAUCCAAAUCUUAAGUGUACCACUAGAUAAAUUUUGAUAAAUGCAUUAUGCCUGGUCUUCACACACCCUUUUCAAUAUAUAGAAAAUUUCCAGAUAAUUUAUUUUGUUGUUUUUUUCACACACUAAGUUCUAGACUUUUCCAGGUCCGAGGGAACUAUUAGGGGGGAAAGUACUUGUUAUAGUAAAAAAGAUUUUAGGUGUGUUUGUUUUUAAGGUGCAGAAACACAUCGCAGAUUAAGGUCUGCAUCUCUGCUUUUUGUUAUUGUUCCAGUUUGAUCUCAGUGACAUUACAAGCAAGCAGAAACACUCAGACAUGAAAUGGCCAGUGCCUGUGAGUUAAGAGCAGGAUCUAGGUCUAUUUUUUUGAUAUGUAUCUCAACUACCUGGAAUACUUUAUACUUUUGGCACUCAAUAAAUAUUUGUUGCUGCCAGACGAUCUGCCACAAAAAUUUACUGGGUCUAUUUUAUGGCUAUUGUUUGUUCACCUUGAAAAUAAUCAUGGGAUCAUAGAAGUCAAAGUCAUGGAGAGCAGCACAGAGGUUUCUCAGCUGUUGAUAAGUUCUUUACAGUAAAGCAGGGUUAAAUGUAGAAGGUAUGAUACUGAGAGCUUCUCAAAGGUACAGAGGUGAAUAGAGGAAAAAGAGCAGAUAAAUUCAGACAGAAUGUCGUUAAGGUCCUAGCAGAAAAAAGACCUGAAUUCGGAGUUCUCUUAUGCUUUCUACUGGAGUUCCAACUCUGUGCUUGACCUUUCCAGGGCCUGCAGGUGCAUGAAGAUGGGUGGUUACUAUUCCUAGAAAAUGUUUAUGUAGAAAAAUACUGAUACAUGCUGAUAUGGUUUGACUGUGUCCCCACCCAAAUCUCAUCUUGAAUGGAACAUAUUGCAAAGUGGUAGCAUGAUAUUUUACUAAACUAAGUUACUGUCAAGACAUUCAGAGAUAUUUUUAAAUGGUACACCAAAUUUCAACACCCUAAAUGCUCACUCAAGCUGAUUACAAAUGAUUGCUUGCCAUUCUUUGUGUAUGAGUGU
rnacentral:lncRNA from 1 species